GCAAGUCGAACGAUGAAGCCCAGCUUGCUGGGUGGAUUAGUGGCGAACGGNNNNNNNCACGCUGAGUAACCUGCCCUUAACUCUGGGAUAAGCCUGGGAAACUGGGUCUAAUACCGGAUAGGAGCGCCCACCGCAUGGUGGGUGUUGGAAAGAUUUAUCGGUUUUGGAUGGACUCGCGGCCUAUCAGCUUGUUGGUGAGGUAAUGGCUCACCAAGGCGACGACGGGUAGCCGGCCUGAGAGGGUGACCGGCCACACUGGGACUGAGACACGGCCCAGACUCCUACGGGAGGCAGCAGUGGGGAAUAUUGCACAAUGGGCGAAAGCCUGAUGCAGCGACGCCGCGUGAGGGAUGACGGCCUUCGGGUUGUAAACCUCUUUCAGUAGGGAAGAAGCGAAAGUGACGGUACCUGCAGAAGAAGCACCGGCUAACUACGUGCCAGCAGCCGCGGUAAUACGUAGGGUGCGAGCGUUAUCCGGAAUUAUUGGGCGUAAAGAGCUCGUAGGCGGUUUGUCGCGUCUGUCGUGAAAGUCCGGGGCUUAACCCCGGAUCUGCGGUGGGUACGGGCAGACUAGAGUGCAGUAGGGGAGACUGGAAUUCCUGGUGUAGCGGUGGAAUGCGCAGAUAUCAGGAGGAACACCGAUGGCGAAGGCAGGUCUCUGGGCUGUAACUGACGCUGAGGAGCGAAAGCAUGGGGAGCGAACAGGAUUAGAUACCCUGGUAGUCCAUGCCGUAAACGUU
rnacentral:rRNA from 1 species